rnacentral:rRNA from 1 species
AGGGCGAACGCUAGCGGCGUGCCUAAGGUAUGCAAGUCGAACGGCCCGCAAGGGUAGUGGCGAACGGUCGAGUAACACGUAGACAACCUGCCUUUCAGUGGGGGAUAACAGCUCGAAAGGGCUGCUAAUACCGCAUAGGGCGGCUAGGCGAUGCCUAGCAUGCUAAAGGAGCAAUCCGCUGGGAGAUGGGUCUGCGGCCUAUCAGGUAGUUGGUGGGGUAACGCCUACCAAGCCGACGACGGGUAGCGGGUCUGAGAGGAUGAUCCGCCGGACGGGGACUGAGACACGGCCCCGACUCCUUCGGGAGGCAGCAAUGAGGAAUAUGCACAAUGGGGGAAACCCUGAUGCAGCGACGCCGCGUGGGUGAGGAAGUCCGUUCGGAUGUAAAGCCCUUUUCGUCGGGACGAUUCCAGACGGUACCCGAGGAAUAAGCCCGGCAACUACGUGCCAGCAGCCGC